UCGGGCGUGGCCAGCCUGGUGGCCUACACUGGGGGUGUAGGGUCGUGGGUUCAAGUCCCGCCGCUCCGACCA
rnacentral:tRNA from 1 species